GCCAGGUGUGGUGGCGCACACCUGUAAUCCCAGUGUCUUGGGAGGCUGAGACAGGAGGAUUGAGAGUUCAAAAGCCAGCCUCAGCAAUGGCGAGGUCCUAAGUGACUCAGUGAGACCUUGUCUCUA
rnacentral:sRNA from 1 species